UNANACAUGCAAGUCGRRCGAGAACAGGGUGCUUGCACCUGGGACAGCGGCGAACGGGUGAGUAACACGUGAGUAACCUGCCCUUCGGAGGGGGAUAGCGGUUCGAAAGGACCGGUAAUACCCCAUAUGCUCACAUUCUUCAAGGAAGGUGAGGAAAUGGUUUAUUCCGCCGAAGGAGGGGCUCGCGGCCUAUCAGGUAGUUGGUGAGAUAAAAGCCCACCAAGCCUACGACGGGUAUCCGACGUGAGAGCGUGAUCGGACACAUGGGAACUGAGACACGGUCCUGACUCCUACGGGAGGCAGCAGUGGGGAAUUUUGGACAAUGGGCGAAAGCCUGAUCCAGCAACGCCGCGUGGGGGAUGAAGGCCUUCGGGUUGUAAACCCCUGUUGCGAGGGAUGAAUAAGGUUUAUCCGAUGACCGUACCUCGCCAGAAAGCCCCGGCUAACUACGUGCCAGCAGCCGCGGUAAUACGUAGGGGGCGAGCGUUACCCGAAAUCACCGGGCGUAAAGGGAGCGCAGGUGGUAUAACAAGUCAGGGGUUAAAUCCCACGGCUCAACCGUGGACCUGCCUUUGAAACUGUUAUACUUGAGGCUGAGAGAGGAAGAUGGAAUUCCUGGUGUAGUGGUGAAAUACUUAGAUAUCAGGAAGAACACCCAUGGCGAAGGCAGUCUUCUGGCUCAGUCCUGACACUGAGGCUCGAAAGCUAGGGGAGCGAAUGGGAUUAGAUACCCCAGUAGUCCUAGCCGUAAACGAUGCUCACUGGGUGUGGGGGGAAACACCCUCUGUGCCGAAGUUAACGCGAUAAGUGAGCCGCCUGGGGAGUACGACCGCAAGGUUGAAACUCAAAGGAAUUGACGGGGCCCCGCACAAGCGGUGGAGCGCGUGGUUUAAUUCGAUGCUGAGCGAAGAACCUUACCAGGACUUGACAUAUUGGUGGUACGGAUCCGAAAGGUGAUGGACCCCUUCUUUUGAAGGGGAGCCAAUACAGGUGGUGCAUGGUUGUCGUCAGCUCGUGCCGUGAGGUGUUCGGUUAAGUCCGAUAACGAGCGCAACCCCUGUCGUUAGUUGCCAGCACUAUGGGUGGGCACUCUAACGAGACUGCCGCCGACGAGGCGGAGGAAGGAGGGGACGACGUCAAAUCAUCAUGCCCUUUAUGUCCUGGGCGACACGCGCGCUACAAUGGGACGGACAACGGGCUGCAAGGUCGCGAGGCCAAGCGAAUCCCUUAAACCGUCCCCCAAUUCGGAUUGUAGGCUGAAACCCGCCUACAUGAAACCGGAAUCGCUAGUAAUCGCAGGUCAGCUACACUGCGGUGAAUACGUUCCCGGGGCUUGUACACACCGCCCGUCAAACCACCCGAGUUGGUUUCACCUGAAGACGCUUACUCUAACCCGUAAGGGAAGAGGACGGCUAAGGUGAGGCUGGUAAGGGGGGUUAAGUCGUAACAAGGUARCY
rnacentral:rRNA from 1 species